UAAAUACCCCUGUCCAUCUAUCAAUUGCUACCUGUUGAUCAUAGUCUGGCAUAUUAUACAUUGUUUAGUAUAUUGUGCUUUCCUCCUCGUUAUGUUUUUAAUUUUUAUUUCAUUUAAAGUUUGUGAUUUUCUAUUAUGUACCAUUUAAAGUUUGCCAUCAGGCCUAUGAGUACUUUGCAUACUUAGCUUGUUUAUUCAAUGCAUAAGUUGUUUUGAUCAAUUUAUGUUUGAAUUAUUGUUUUGUUUUAUCAUAUAGCAUUAUAGUAAGUGAAGAUGAUGUUCAUUCCAUCUGUGUCAAGGCAUAAUAUUAUCCAUGUCUGCAUGUAGUUGAAGUUAUGCAGUUUGCUAGAGUAAUCUUAUUAUCGAUCUUGUGUUGGGUGGUUUGUUCUUCAAUACACUAUAUGCAGGCUAUUUUCUCUUUUCAUUCUUUAGCUUCGAAGAAUAAUGCAAUUUUGGGUUUCAUUGUUUUUCACUCUGUGAUCAAUUUUGCAGAACAAAGAUUGGCCUUUUGGAUUUCUUGUUUUUCUUCUAUUGACUAUUUUUUAUUUUGAUUGUUGAUGAUCAUCAUGGAGAAUUAUUCAAGAAGUGGUGGUGUUCAUGAUUUUACUAUGGCUUCAAGAAAAGCUGAAGAAACAAGUUGAUGACACCCUCGACUUAUUCAACGAACUUCAGUUGCAACAUCAGGUGGUAGCUACAAAGACUAAGACGCUUCAUGAUGCAUGUGAUAGACUGAUGUGAGUUGUUUUAGCACCCUUGACAAGAAAUAGAUCCUACGGCAAAGUUCCUCAAUCUCAUGCUAUCCUCUAUUACUCUCAGAGAGCAGCUUGUUCUAAUGGCGGUCUUCUCAUAACCGAAGCUACCGGUGUCUCUGAUACUGCAAGGAUCUUGAAGGCAUGUUAAAUAUGAAGAUUCAAGAUUUGGAGAUUGUAGAGGAACGUAGAAUCAAAAGAGCGGACAAACAUGGAAUUGCUAAAUAUGAAGAUUUGAAGAUUGUUAUUUCAUCCGAAAACGUUGUUGUUCAAGUCACUUGAUGUGUUCGAUGAUCCGACAUCAUUAACAGAGGAGGAGCUCUAUGAAUUGCGAAACAGUUGGGCAAUUUGUUUUCUUGACCUAUAUAAUCCUUAGGUAGAUUAUGAUGUUGCCGAUGAGGCUUAGGAGCUAGCUAGGUUAAUUUGUGUGAUGUUACAAUGGAUUCAUAUUAAUUAUGAUGUUUUGAAUUGUAAUGACAUUUGAUAUUUUGCUUGAA